UUUUUCUUGGUGUUUGGCUGCGCACUUGCCUUUAGUGGCGCGGUGUUUGAGGGCGAAGAUGCCACAGUGUUCCAUUCAUUGGCGGAAAUC
rnacentral:tRNA from 1 species